rnacentral:rRNA from 1 species
CCCUUAGAUGUUCUGGGCCGCACGCGCGCUACACUGAUUCAUGCAACAAGUUUUGUCCUUGGCUGAUAGGCCUGGGCAAUCUUUGAACAUCGAUCGUGAUCGGGAUAGAUUCUUGUAAUUUUUGAUCUUAAACGAGGAAUUCCUAGUAAACGCAAGUCAUCAGCUUGCAUUGAUUACGUCCCUGCCCUUUGUACACACCGCCCGUCGCACCUACCGAUUGAAUGGUCCGGUGAAAUCUCCGGACUGGCGUGAGUCGGAGCAAUCUGACAAACACCGGAAAGUUGAUUAAACCUUACCAUUUAGAGGAAGGUGAAGUCGUAACA